rnacentral:rRNA from 1 species
GGUGUAGGAUGAAAUCCUUCGGGAUGUAAACUACUGUUAGAGGGGAAGAAAUCUCGGUUACGCCGAGAGUGACGGUACCCUCAGAGAAAGCCACGGCUAACUCUGUGCCAGCAGCCGCGGUAAUACAGGGGUGGCAAGCGUUGUCCGGAAUUACUGGGUGUAAAGGGUGCGUAGGCGGAUCGGUAAGUCAGUGGUCAAAUCCUAUAGCUUAACUAUAGACUAUCCAUUGAUACUGUUGAUCUUGAGUGCGAGAGAGAUGAGUGGAAUUCCAAGUGUAGCGGUGAAAUGCGUAGAGAUUUGGAAGAACACCAGUAGCGAAGGCGGCUCAUUAGCUCGUAACUGACGCUGAGGCACGAAAGCAUGGGUAGCAAACAGGAUUAGAUACCCUGGUAGUCCAUGCCCUAAACGAUGAGGACUAGGUAUCGGUAAUUUAUUAUCGGUGCCGCAGCUAACGCAUUAAGUCCUCCACCUGGGGAAUACGAUCGCAAGAUUG